AAGUCGUAACAAGGUCUCCGUAGGUGAACCUGCGGAGGGAUCAUUAACAUCCACAUAAGUGGUACCUCAAGUACUUGUACGAGGGGUUACCUACUUAUACACACACACUCGUGAACUCUAUACAAUUUUAUACUCUGUGACUAUUUUAUUCUUCAUUGAAUAUUUUUAAUCUCUCAACCACUCCACGCAAUGGAUAUCUUGGUUCUCGU
rnacentral:misc_RNA from 1 species